UUCAGAAAAUGCCUUUGUACAGUGAUUUUUUUCCAAGUAGAUUCAGAAAUGUGAUUUAAGUGUGAUAUAUAGGUAUAGAAAGAGUUCUGCCUUUGCUUUAAGCAAGUUUAGUGUGAGAGAGGAAGAAACAUCUUGUGAGGUGCAUACAUUAUUAAUAAUCGACUUUUUGAAGAGUUUUGAUUAUUUGUGACAAUAAUCUUAAUUGAAAAGAUUUAAGUGGUAUAAAAGUAGAUGAAUUUCAUAUGGAGUUUUUACCCCAUUUGACUGAAGUUUUUCAGCUUCUUUACAGAUUUCUGUAUGAAUAAAAUGCUGAACAACUACAGCAAUAACAAAAACUGAGUAAAAUUCCUAAAUUCCAUUGUUAUGUUUUAUAAUUAAUGAUCCUAUAGGCCUGAGAGUGUCUAUGGCUUCUUAGGGUUUUUGGUGGCUGUUUUUUAAUGUGGGAGUUUGAAUUUUACAAAAAUAUUCUAAAUGGAAGAAGAGCUGUGAAAUCUUCCAGCAAACUAAGUGAACUAAGGAUUGUAUUGCCUGUGCUUUGAAACAGAGGACGAAGUAUAGACAGGUCCUUUACAGAACAUUAUUUCUCAGAGGUCAUAGCACUUGUGUUGUCAUUUUCCUGUAAUUCAUUCUGCUGUUCCCCACCCUCUCAGCUCCUACUCAGACUGUACUUCUGGUGCCCUAAGUGUUUUGGUUUUUUCUGAUCAGCUGGAGUUAUUUGGUUUCACAGGAGGGUGAUCUGAUUUCUCCUGAGCCUCUAUUAAAAGAAGGUUGAAGGGCAUGGUUCUGAGUUUCUUUGUUUUUGCUUAGUGGUAGCCAGAGGCACAGGGCUAUGUAGAAUUUUCAGAAGGAAAAAGAAAUUAAGGCUCUAUUGCCAUUCCAUUGACUAUUGCCAUUCUAGAAUUUAGGGUAUCUAUGUCUAUGCAAUUUCUUUCUUUUUGUUUGUUUUUUGGCGGCUGGCUGGGAUGGGGGUCUGAACCCUUGUCCGUGGUGUUAUAACACUGUGCUCUAACCAACGGAGCUAACCAGCCAGCUGGGUCUAUGCCAUUUCUGCCCUAUGUCAGAAAUUAGCUCUGGACUCUAGCAGUUAGAGACUGUACGAGUAGUAACAUGCUUUAGUGACGUUGGUUGUGGCUGUAUGCCUUUGUGUGUUUUAGUUAAAUGUUCAUGCUUUAAAAAAUUCAGAUUCUUAUAUAUUUUUAACUUAUGUACAGGCAGAGCAGAGAUGUUGAGUGAAUUUUAGAUUCAUCUGUUAGUUUCUGUGUAUCCACAACUCAGAGCUUCAUCUGAUAAACUCAUCAUACUAUUUAUUAUAAAAAGUAGUGCCAUAAUCAAUGUAAAGUGUAACUGACUGCAUAAAUAAAAAUCAUUGCUUUAUAAGUGUCCAGA